AUGAGGUGGACUUGCGGCAGAA
rnacentral:miRNA from 1 species